rnacentral:tRNA from 1 species
GCCUGGGUGGCUCAGUCGGUUAAGCAUCUGACUUUGGCUCAGGUCAUGAGCUCACAGUUUGUGAGUUCGAGCCCCGCAUCAGGCU